GGCACAUACGGGUAUUUAAUCGAUCUACGCGGCCAAAAGUCGAUUUAACAAAAUGUAUGACAGGUAAACGAAACAAUUAUCCUUAUCAAGGUGAUUAGUCUAGGGUCUAAAAUUACCCCCUCCAAACCGCAUUCCACGGAUCCCGAUAACACACUAUCAGUCGGAAUUCGAUCGUCCCGUUCGGUGUACGUGUCUGUUCUCGGCGUUCGUGUGCAAAUAUAAACUAUUAACUUAAUAUUUGUGAAACCAAGUUAAAUUGCGAAAAGAAAGUGAUGGAUCCAGUUACAGCAGGUAUAUUAAAUAGAUUGCUGCUCAGCUCGGAUCCCCUCUUAAACAGCAUGAAGAACGCAAGAAAAAGCAACCUGAAAAGUUUCCUGCCUGAAGCAAUCGCUAUGUUCAUUGCUGCGACACCAAAUCCUCAAGAUGAAUGUUCUUAAAUGUAAAUAAAAUGUUUUUUUACACAAA